GUGAUUCAUCAGGCCAACAAAGAUAUAUAUCCGUGCUAUACCUACGUGUAUAAUGCUAAACAGGAUUGUUACCCACCAAAAAGGACAUAACCAAUGAAGAAAUCGAAUGCGUUGAAAACCAGGCCCAAAAUCUUCAAGCAACAAAAGUAAGCGACAAUAUAAAGAAUAAAUAAUAAAAUAAAAACAAUAAAAUUAAAUUAAUCCUGGUCAUUAUUUAUUACUUGCUAUAAAACAAAAGUUGCGGAAGGCAAAACAAAAACGGAUUAAUUGGUUUAUUCAAUAAUUGACCUGUGCUCUUAAAAUAUACAACUAAUCUACAUCUCGAAUUCUUCGUAUUUUGGAUUAAGAGGGUCGCAGGUAUUUUAGACUUGGUUACCUGGGACAUACAAUUUUGGAAUGAAAGUUGAACACCCGGAUUAAGAAAAUUCCACUAUCUUUCAGUUUUUUUUCUAAUUCUCUUAUAAACUAUGACAUCAUCGGAAUGAGGUUUUUUGUAUUUGACUAAAAAUAUAUCAGGUCAUUGAAUAUUGACAAAAAAAUGUCCUUGAUAAACACAUUUUUUUUUUAAAUAACUUAAAAAACUGAAAAAUGUUUUUUUUUUUCUCUAAAUUUCAACUUUAAAACUUAAUUUUGCACAAGCUAUUUAAUUAAACAACGUAAAUCCAAAAACAAAACAAAGAAUAAAACAUUAGCUUUACAAAAAUUAAAGCGCAGUGUUGUACGUGCUUUUUUUGAUUUUUAAUAAUUUGUUUUCUUUGGGCUAAUCGGGAUGGACAUUUAAAUGGGUUUUACUGUACCUAAAAAUGAAAAUUUAUCCUUCCAAAUAACUUUUUAGUCAUUAAAUUCAGAGAUGGUAUUCUUCUCACGUCGCAACUAAUCAACGAGGAAGAUAAAAAAAAAUUUCAAAUAAUCUGGAAAGAAUCCCGUGUACGGAUGGAGACGCCACAGUCGAAGAGUACGCGGGCACGUACACAUCACGAUGCCAGUGUUUUGGCAACCAACAAAAAGGUGCGAGGUAGCUUACAAUUGCCUCUUAGUAACUGUAUCAACAUCGGGACUGCAAACAAUAAUAUUGCAUGUAUUACGGAAGAAACGCUAUACAAGCUAUUGGAAAAUAAUAGAGAUGUACACGCAAAUUUUAGCGCGUUAAAUGCGCCAAAUUUAUACCGACACGGCAGCAAUUGAAGCACCUAAGAACGCAAAUUAUUAUGCUCUUCUGGCAAAUUCAGAAAAUGAAACGGUACAGAGUACUUCCAAAUCAAGUUAGGAUGGCAACACGGCUAAUGUAUUCAAGGAUGGUGUGAGUUCCAGUAAAUCAACAGCAAGAUCAAUCAACAGAAACGAAUGAAAGUUCCUGGGGCCUUUCAAUCUUCACAAAGGACUUAACUUAGAUAACAUUAAAUUCGUAUCUAACGGUUUUUGCCGUUUUAAAAUUUUUGUAAGGGGGGUUGAAGUACAUGGCUUUAUCAUGGAGCAUUUCAAAAAACUUAAUAAUUAGGCUUUUUCUUUUACUCCUAAGGAGCAUAUAACAUUUAAUUUAGUACUUAAGGGACUCAGCGGCAAUUGUUCGCCCGAGGAGAUACAUCAAGACCUGCUUAGAUUGAACUUCUCUCUGAGGGUGGUGGUAAAAAAUUUCAGACCAAAUGGUCUAGAGAAAAUGAGAUUCUCUUGAAUCUGUUUCUUUGUGUCUUGGAGGACAGGGAAAGUGUUUCAAAAAUUUAAAAGAUUGCACAGAAUGCAAUAUGAUUCGAUUAGGAGUUCUGGUAUUCGACAAUGUUUCAGCUGUCAAAGAAUUGGGUUAUUUUUGCGUUGAGAGUGCUUUAUUUGAAUAGACCUACUUUUCGCGUGUCCUGUUCUAAAAAUAUAUUUUUGAAAAUAAAGGCAAGAUUAAGAUCUUUUAUGAAAAGUAAGAUUCGUCUGUCUUUACCUGCAUUUUUCCUUAAUACAACCUAUUUUUUUUCAUGCAUUUUUAACAGAAUGUGUUCAAAUAUAGAGCUUUUGGGGGUAUGGUUGUCUGCACCAUCAAUCAAAGUAACAUAUGUUUUGAAGUUUUUGCGAAGAAAAUUAAAUGUAGAAGGUAUUUGGACAACUUUCUUCCUUGUGCCCAAACAUGUAUAAACGCUGGCAAAAGGAUGAGAAAUAUUUUUUUUUUAAAACAAUGACUGGCUUGACCGACCACAUACUUUUCCCAUGAAAAUUGGUUGUCUUCAGAAUACGUCCAAGAACCACCAUUCGGAAAAUAAACGCGGUAGACCAAACAAAAUUUUUGAAGCAUGUUGCAGCAAAACAAAGAUGCAACAAGUUGAUGAUUUUAUCAGAACAAGGUCUGUCAAAGAAUUAAUGUAUGCAAUACAUUUAUCAGAGCUAAAUUCAUCAACUUCUGCUCAUUGAGAUGAAGAAAAGAAAAUUAUACCACCUUUCAUUAUAUCUUGAUGUCGAUAUAACAGAGAAGCUAUGCAAUAUUUAGAAAAACUGUUAAAGCAAUACACAAGGUCUCUUUUCCGAGCAACUACGCAUUAAGACAAGCAAAAAAAGGAUUCCUUACAAAAUGUACAGCCACGGAAACAUCAGCAGAAGUUGAUUUUCAAGACUUAUCUAAAAAAAAGUAAGUAUUGAUAAGGAAACACACGCUAAAAUGAUCUGAAAAUGGGGCUUCGAUGGUAGUGGCAACCAUAGCGCUUAUAAAAUUAAAGGGCCUAUUAUGGAUCACAACUCAACUUAGUUGAGUUGUAAUCAAGACAACUCAAUUUGAAGACAACUGCAAAAAAAAAUCGUAUUACGUGAGACAACUUUUUUCAGUUGAGUAGACCAAAUACGUUGCCUACUUUUAUGUGCUUGUUUUGUGUCAAAAUCAGCUGUGUAAAGUAAAAUACGUAGGAAUUUCAAAAUUUUGAAUUCAGUGCAAAAUUUUAUAAAAAAGACAAAAUAAUAGGAAAUGGAGAGUUCUAUUGAUUUGUUUCUUGGAAAUUCGGAAGAAGAAAAUGCUCUAAAUGUUGCGCUGAUGAGAAAAAAUAUUCGAGAUCACUCCAAUCCAUUGGAACUUCCAAACAAAAAAUUUAUAAGUUAUUUUAGACUCAACAAAGACGCAUUUUUGUAUGUGCUAAAUGAAAUCAAAGAUCAUUUGAAACAACCACAGCGUUCCUCCGCAAUCCCACCAAUUCUCAAACUCUGCACUGCCCUACGUUUCACGGCAGAAGGAAGUUACCAAAAGUGCAGUGGUAAUGAUUUUAAUUUAGGCCUUGCUCAGCCAACAGUUUCGGUAGUGUUAAAAAAGU